rnacentral:rRNA from 1 species
GUAGGGUGCAAGCGUUAAUCGGAAUUACUGGGCGUAAAGCGUGCGCAGGCGGUUCUAUAAGACAGAUGUGAAAUCCCCGGGCUCAACCUGGGAACUGCAUUUGUGACUGUAGAGCUGGAGUACGGCAGAGGGGGAUGGAAUUCCGCGUGUAGCAGUGAAAUGCGUAGAUAUGCGGAGGAACACCGAUGGCGAAGGCAAUCCCCUGGGCCUGUACUGACGCUCAUGCACGAAAGCGUGGGGAGCAAACAGGAUUAGAUACCCUGGUAGUCCACGCCCUAAACGAUGUCAACUGGUUGUUGGGAAGGUUCCUUCUCAGUAACGUAGCUAACGCGUGAAGUUGACCGCCUGGGGAGUACGGCCGCAAGGUUG